UACAGAGGGUGCAAGCGUUGUUCGGAAUUAUUGGGCGUAAAGAGCUCGUAGGCGGUUUGUCGCGUCUGCCGUGAAAGUCCGGGGCUCAACUCCGGAUCUGCGGUGGGUACGGGCAGACUAGAGUGAUGUAGGGGAGACUGGAAUUCCUGGUGUAGCGGUGAAAUGCGCAGAUAUCAGGAGGAACACCGAUGGCGAAGGCAGGUCUCUGGGCAUUAACUGACGCUGAGGAGCGAAAGCGUGGGGAGCGAACAGG
rnacentral:rRNA from 1 species